GUAGGGUCCAAGCGUUGUCCGGAUUUAUUGGGCGUAAAGAGCUCGUAGGCGGUUCGGUAAGUCGGAUGUGAAAACUCAGGGCUCAACCCGGAGACGCCAUCCGAUACUGCUGUGACUUGAGUCUGGUAGGGGAACACGGAAUACCUGGUGUAGCGGUGAAAUGCGCAGAUAUCAGGUGGAACACCGAUGGCGAAGGCAGUGUUCUGGGCCAGUACUGACGCUGAGGAGCGAAAGCGUGGGGAGCAAACAGGAUUAGAUACCCUGGUAGUCCACGCCGUAAACGUUGGGCACUAGGUGUGGGUCCUCAUCAACGGGAUCCGUGCCGUAGCUAACGCAUUAAGUGCCCCGCCUGGGGAGUACGGCCGCAAGGCUA
rnacentral:rRNA from 1 species